UACGGAGGGGGCUAGCGUUGUUCGGAAUUACUGGGCGUAAAGCGCACGUAGGCGGCUUUGUAAGUUAGAGGUGAAAGCCCAGGGCUCAACCCUGGAAUUGCCUUUAAGACUGCAUCGCUAGAAUUGUGGAGAGGUAAGUGGAAUUCCGAGUGUAGAGGUGAAAUUCGUAGAUAUUCGGAAGGACACCAGUGGCGAAGGCGACUUACUGGACACAUAUUGACGCUGAGGUGCGAAAGCGUGGGGAGCAAACAGG
rnacentral:rRNA from 1 species